CAAUGCUAAAGCACUCUAUGGGCCCAAGUCAAUUGUUGAGCUUUAUUAUAUAUUUUCCAUGCGGAGAAAGUUCAGGAAUAACGAAAUAAACUUAUGGGAUUCAAAUUUUUACCCUUCAUUUUCUGGAAACCUACUUAUUGAUAAUGUUCCCGAUAGUGUGCCCCAAAAUCAAUGGUUGUCAUUUUUUGACUAUCAUUUGAGGUCAAAUUAUCAGGAAUUAUAUAUCGGUAUUCAUUGAGACAACCUAAGAGAUACGGUUCCAAGUGGUGGGUCCGGGGGCCUUACUAAGUUCUCGUAGUACCGGUAUUUGAGCGUGCACCGUUAUGGAAUUGUUUUACAAUAAUUACCACAAUUACUAAGUUCCCAUUAUCGUAGUGCAGUGCUCUCCGAUCAAACUCUCACACAAUAUCUACUAAGUUCCUAUACAUGCAUUAUGUGUAUUUGUACAUAUUCAAAUCCUUAGUAAGUUUUGUGUGUAUUACAUUUAUCAUUAGCCUUGAAUGUUGAGCCAAACUCGGUAAGGCAAAGAGCAAAGAAGUCUGUUGAUAUUUCAAUUUUGUUCAAAGAAGUUAGAAAAGAGUGAUU